rnacentral:rRNA from 1 species
UACAGAGGGUGCAAGCGUUGUUCGGAAUUAUUGGGCGUAAAGCGCGUGUAGGCGGCUUUGCAAGUCGGGUGUGAAAGCCCUCGGCUCAACCGAGGAAGUGCGCCCGAAACUGCAGAGCUUGAGUACCGGAGAGGAUGGCGGAAUUCCCCAAGUAGAGGUGAAAUUCGUAGAUAUGGGGGAGGAACACCGGUGGCGAAGGCGGCCAUCUGGACGGAUACUGACGCUGAGACGCGAAAAGCGUGGGUAGCAAACAGG